rnacentral:lncRNA from 1 species
AACUUGAGGGGCUGCAGCAAGUACCAGACUCCCUCUCAGUCACAGAGUCUUAGGCUUCUGUUUCUGUGAUUGCAUCCAUUGUACAAAAGCAAAGGUGUACAUUGCUGCAUGUUUUAUAAACCUAGACUGCAUAGCUAGCUAAGUAAUGAGAUUUUCUACACCCAAUAAUAACCUUGACAAACAGGUGCCUUUUCCUCAAGGGCAGAAAAUUUUACAUUUCUAAUCUAACAUUAGGAAUUGGUGAUAGGAGAAACAGGAUCCACAAUUUAGUGGCUUUAGGAAAAAGAUGCAUCUUGAAAAUGUUAUCUUAAAAUAUACUUAUAGAUAAUCUAGAUUUAGCCUUGGAGAUCAAAUUUUCUCAUAUUUUAAAACUUGUUAGCUAGGUGUGAUGGCUAAUGUUUCUAACCAAUACUUGAGGGACUGAGGUGGAAAGAUGGAAGAGAGUCUGAAGCCAACCUCUGCUUCAUAGUGAUUGCAAGUCCACCUGGGCUGUAGUGUGGGAUCCUCUCCCAAAAAACAAAAACAAAAACAUUAUUUUUUUAAUUAUUUUUUUAAGUUUUCAUACAUGUAUGUAUAUAUUAUAUGUUGAGUACACAGCUCUCAUUUGUGUAUAAUUACUUCUGUCAUGUUCAUGGUUUGCAUUCACUGUUUUACAUUGUGCCUAUUUAUGGCUUUGGAAUGUUGUUUCUGGGGGGAGGUCAUCUAGCACCUCUGUCACUGACGUAAUAGGACAUUUGUAACCAACACCUCUGUCACUGAGGUAAUAGGACAUUUGUAACCAACUGUACUGCUUAAAUUUCUUGAAUUUGGUUCUAUAGACAACAUAUUUGCAGAAUAGCUUUUUAUGUUUUAAUCCAAAUGCAUUAUAAGAUUACAGCAUGUGACGACUCUGAUGGUCCUUACAUGCCAACAACACUUAGAGUCCCAACUCAGAAGCCACAGUGAUGCAUAUUAGACCUUAACUCAUAGAAGAAAACUAGAGGCAGUUCCACAACCCAGUCAGUGGGAGGUGUCUGGUAAACAUGCCCCACUUCCUAUCCUCACCAAAACUUUACAAAACUCGAGUGUGCACUCUGAGAAUGUGUAAGUAAAGUAGAAAGUCCUCAUAUUAUUGGGUAUUUGCCUUAUUUUGGCCAUUUCUCCAGAAAUUUUACACAAUCUUGGAGCCUUAAGGAUCUUGUUAUGCAGCAUUGCUUUCCAUAACUGCAGGAAGUGGGAAAUUCCUAGGUAACUCCCAAGUAUGGAACAAAAAGAACCCCUAUUCACUUAGAGGAAAAUAUGGGUAAAAUAUAUAUGUUUUCAGGUAAGUUCUUCCUCUUGGGAGAGGAUUUGCAUCAGAAAAUUAGUGACAAAUUCAUCUCUUGGUUUCACAAUAUCUCAAGAUGCUAAAUAGCAAAGAUUUACUGAGUCAUGAUUUCAGUAUUUGCUCCUAUAUAAGUACUAAUAAACAUGACAGCUAAGGCAAGUUCAAGGUGAUGAGAUGAUUUCCUAUACUGGGCUCAAUCCUUGGUUUUAAGGAGCCCUUAACAAAAGUCCUUUCAUUGCCCUUAAAAUGUAACAAGUUUCUGCCUUCUCUAAUUGGAGGUGAUAGUAUCUACACUGUAGGCUCAAGGUGAUGCUGACCACAUCUCCUGGUACCUUCAACUAGAAUUUCUAGACCAACAACAGUAUGAAUGACGCAGAUCUCUGAGACUAAUAGAAUUACAGAAUUUGCUAAUAACGUUAUUUUACAUUAACAGUGGGAUUUAUCUCUUGAUAAUUUAAAAUUAUUUUGUACUGUAUACAUGAUUAUUCACCUAAACCAAGUUUUUAUGUAGACUAUUCUUGCCAUAUGAUACUUUUUAAAACUCCCAUAAAACAUAAUUGAAAACAUCAAAAAUUCACUUGUAUCAAAGUUGGAAUGUGCCAGGUGUUUUUUGCUCACUUACAGUAGUAAACAAGGCUAUACAGAGUUUGGGCUGUGAUUUAUUAUUUUAGGGAGUUUGCUGAGAAGAAACCUUAAGACUUUAUUCAAAACAGUUUGGUUUGGUUUGAUUUUUUGAGAUGGGGGUUUUUUCAGUGUAGCCCUGAGCUGGAACUUGCUCUGUAGAUUAGGCUGGCCUUAAACUCCAGACCUACCUACCUCUGCCUCCAGAGUGCUGAGAUAAAAAGGUGUGAGCCACCAUGCCUGGCUAAAAACAGUUUUAUUAAACUAUAAAUCAAUGAAAUUAGUUCUCUAAGAUAAUUAAGAAAUUAAAAUAUAGGAAAUAGAUCUUCUUUUUAAGACAAAGGAAAUGUAGCACUGGGCCACUCAGGACUUUGAAAUUGGAUUGGAUUUCCUAGAUUUUGGUGGUAUAUGCCUAUAAUCUCAACAUUGAAGAGGUAAGGGCAGGAACAGGAGUUGAAGGUCAUACAUAAUGAGCUGAAUAAUGAGUUCGAAGCUAACUUAGGCUCUAUGAGACCCUGUCUCAAAAUAGGGGGGAGGGGAAAGGCAGAAACAAAAUCUUAGGUAAGAGAGAUUGGAUUGUUGGAUUGGAUGAGUAGACAGAUCUGAUGGCCUGGGCUCGAGCCACUUUGCUGUUCCCUGAUGCACAGUUCUCAUUCUCCUUUGACACCUUUCCUAAAUGGCAUCUAUUUAAUCAGAUCAUUUAUUUACAGAUUCCAAGUUUUUCAGAAAAGGAGGCACAUCUCAUUUUGUAUUAGAUAUAAUGAGUUCAUAAAUUAUUACUGGCAAAUGUUAUCAAACUUAGUCAUAACCCGAAUUCUCUUACUGAACAAGAGAAAUAAGUCAAUGUUCUGCUGUCCUCCUCUUAAUGAGAUGCGAAAUUGCUCUUUGAAGUUCUUUUCAAUGUGUUACAUUGUAUCCUUUCUCCUUCAAGCAUCUUCCCUUUAUGUGUUUUUGCUCAGGCAACCAUGGGCAUAGAGUAUUGAAAAACAUGCAGUGCUUUUGUAUAGGCCAUCUGUACAUAAAAGUGUAAUUAUUUAUUUAAUUUUCUCAUUUGUACCAUAUUAAAGCUUUGUACAGUGUUUUAAGUUCUGUUUUAAAAUUAUUUUGUAUUUUAUUUUUAUAAUCUAGUAAUAAAACAUUCAGUCCGCAUGC